rnacentral:rRNA from 1 species
UACGUAGGGGGCAAGCGUUGUCCGGAAUCAUUGGGCGUAAAGCGAGCGUAGGCGGCCCGAUAAGUCUGCUGUAAAAGUCAACGGCUCAACCGUUGAAAGCCGGUGGAUACUGUCGGGCUAGAGUUCGGAAGAGGCAAGUGGAAUUCCUGGUGUAGCGGUGGAAUGCGCAGAUAUCAGGAGGAACACCGGUGGCGAAGGCGGGUCUCUGGGCCGAUAUUGACGCUGAGGAGCGAAAGCGUGGGGAGCGAACAGG